AUAUAGCUGCCCAACAGUUAUAUGCAUUGGAAACUGUAAGUCUAGAGUGCAGUAGAGAGUUUUGGAACUCCAUGUGGAGCGGUGGAAUGCGUAGAUAUAUGGAAGAACACCAGAGGCGAAGGCGAAAACUUAGGCUGUUACUGACGCUUAGGCUCGAAAGUGUGGGGAGCAAAUAGGAUUAGAUACCCUAGUAGUCCACACCGUAAACGAUGGUAAUUAAAUCUUGGUACGGGAUGUAUCAGGAUUGCAGUU
rnacentral:rRNA from 1 species